rnacentral:rRNA from 1 species
UACGAAGGGGGCUAGCGUUGCUCGGAAUUACUGGGCGUAAAGCGCACGUAGGCGGUCUUUUAAGUCGGGGGUGAAAUCCUGGAGCUCAACUCCAGAACUGCCUUCGAUACUGGAAGACUUGAGUCCGGGAGAGGUGAGUGGGAACUGCGAGUGUAGAGGUGAAAUUCGUAGAUAUUCGCAAGAACACCAGUGGCGAAGGCGGCUCACUGGCCCGGGUACUGACGCU